rnacentral:tRNA from 2 species
GCCCAAGUGGUGGAAUCGGUAGACACGCUAGUUUCAGGGACUAGUGACCUUACGGUUGUGCAAGUUCGAGUCUUGUCUUGGGUA